UGUCAAGUAGGUGAGCUGUAUUUACAUGA
rnacentral:piRNA from 1 species